rnacentral:tRNA from 1 species
AGGCACGUAGCUCAGGGGGAGAGCGCUACCCUGACACGGUAGAAGUCGGUGGUUCAAAUCCACUCGUGCCUA